rnacentral:misc_RNA from 1 species
GUAAUAAUUUAAAUAGUUAUCAGAGAUUUUAAUACUGUAAAUACAAGAGUUUAAGGGGUUCCUAGCGGCGGGCAAGCCCGCCGAGGAAACAACAGAGGUACACGUAGACAAAGGGUGGAUGCAAUAACCCCCGGAGGGGCUAUAGCUUUCGUAAUUAAUGAUCCUUCCGCAGGUUCACCUACGGAAA